rnacentral:rRNA from 1 species
UGCAGUCGAGCGCACCUUCGGGUGAGCGGCGGACGGGUUAGUAACGCGUGGGAACAUACCCUUUGGUACGGAAUAGCCUCUGGAAACGGAGAGUAAUACCGUAUGAGCCCUUCGGGGGAAAGAUUUAUCGCCAAAGGAUUGGCCCGCGUUAGAUUAGGUAGUUGGUGGGGUAAUGGCCUACCAAGCCUACGAUCUAUAGCUGGUUUUAGAGGAUGAUCAGCAACACUGGGACUGAGACACGGCCCAGACUCCUACGGGAGGCAGCAGUGGGGAAUCUUGGACAAUGGGGGCAACCCUGAUCCAGCCAUGCCGCGUGAGUGAUGAAGGCCUUAGGGUCGUAAAGCUCUUUCGCCUGUGAAGAUAAUGACGGUAGCAGGUAAAGAAACCCCGGCUAACUCCGUGCCAGCAGCCGCGGUAAUACGGAGGGGGUUAGCGUUGUUCGGAAUUACUGGGCGUAAAGCGCACGUAGGCGGACUGGAAAGUUGGGGGUGAAAUCCCAGGGCUCAACCCUGGAACUGCCUCCAAAACUAUCAGUCUAGAGUUCGAGAGAGGUGAGUGGAAUUCCGAGUGUAGAGGUGAAAUUCGUAGAUAUUCGGAGGAACACCAGUGGCGAAGGCGGCUCACUGGCUCGAUACUGACGCUGAGGUGCGAAAGUGUGGGGAGCAAACAGGAUUAGAUACCCUGGUAGUCCACACCGUAAACGAUGAAUGCCAGUCGUCGGGUAGCAUGCUAUUCGGUGACACACCUAACGGAUUAAGCAUUCCGCCUGGGGAGU